rnacentral:tRNA from 1 species
UCCCUGGUGGUCCAGUGGCUAAGACUCUGCACUCCCAAAGCAGGGGGCCUGAGUUCAAUCCCUGGUCAGGGAA